rnacentral:tRNA from 1 species
UAGGCAGAAGCCUGGUGGUUUGGGCACCUAGCUGUUAACUAGUUGUUUAUGGGAUCGAGGCCCAUCUGCCUAG